CACCUUUUGACAUGCCCUGAUCGCUGGAGAGAUCCAGUUUUCCCUUCGGGGACAGGGACACAGGUGCUGCGUGGCUGUCGUCAGCUCGUGUCGUGAGAUGUUGGGUUAAGUCCCGCAACGAGCGCAACCCUCGCCCUUAGUUGCCAGCAUUCAGUUGGGCACUCUAAGGGGACUGCCGGUGAUAAGCCGAGAGGAAGGUGGGGAUGACGUCAAGUCCUCAUGGCCCUUACGGGCUGGGCUACACACGUGCUACAAUGGUGGUGACAGUGGGCAGCGAGCACGCGAGUGUGAGCUAAUCUCCAAAAGCCAUCUCAGUUCGGAUUGCACUCUGCAACUCGAGUGCAUGAAGUUGGAAUCGCUAGUAAUCGCGGAUCAGCAUGCCGCGGUGAAUA
rnacentral:rRNA from 1 species